rnacentral:tRNA from 1 species
GCCGCCCUGGUGAAAUUGGUAGACACGAGGGACUCAAAAUCCCUUGCCUUCGGGCGUCCCGGUUCGAGUCCGGGGGGCGGCACCA